rnacentral:rRNA from 1 species
UACGGGGGGGGCAAGCGUUGUUCGGAAUUACUGGGCGUAAAGGGCUCGUAGGCGGCCAACUAAGUCGGAUGUGAAAUCCCCAGGCUCAACUUGGGAACUGCAUCCGAUACUGGAUGGCUUGAAUUCGGGAGAGGGAUGCAGAAUUCCAGGUGUAGCGGUGAAAUGCGUAGAUAUCUGGAGGAAUACCGGUGGCGAAGGCGGCAUCCUGGACCGACAUUGACGCUGAGGAGCGAAAGCGUGGGGAGCAAACGGG